UUCAAUCACGUCUCAGAACUCUUAUCAAUAAAACAUAUAACUUACAUAAAACACAUCCCAAUGACGUUCUAGAAUGAUUUGAGACCCAUUGACCAAAAGUCAACCGUCGGUCAAAGAUCAACGGUAGGGUCCACAACCCUACAUAACUCAAUCCGAAAGAUCCGCAUCUCGGAUUUCUGAUCCGUAGCUUCUAAAGAUCAAAAUUAUACUUCUAGAAUAUCAUAGUAAAGUUUUAUUACGAUCCAACGGUUGGAUCUGCGCCAAUUGCUUAUUCAAGUAGUAGUCAACGUUUUAUUUUACAAACUUACAAAUCCAAUUUGGGAAGAUCCGUACUUCAGAUUCCCAAUCCGUAAGUUUCUAAUAUCCUCAAAUAUUACAUACCAUAAUAUAUUAAAUUUUGGUGAUGAUCCAAAGAUCGGAUCGUUAAUUCACAUAAUGUUCAAGUAGCGGUUUUUAACAAAACUAUGUUCAAACGAUGAGAUUUCAUCAAUCGGACUUCACCUAUGGAAUUGGGGUGUCAAACUUAGCUUAGGAAGUUCAGGGGGUGACUCGGCUCAUGCACCGCCGUCACGCGCCGCCGCACACGGCGGUCAACCGCCUCAAUUCGCCGGAAAAUUUAGCUAUCUCCAAAAUUUCUCAAAUUCUAUAGAAAUGAAGAUCUCCAAGAGUAGAGCAAGUUUUAUACCUGUGGCCAAGUCCAAUUUGGCUGAGAAAGGCUCCAAUUUCACUCAAACCCGCCGGAACCCUAAAAUUGGUGAACUUCGAUUCUCCUUCCUCAAUGUUCCAACGUCUCUACCACUGGUUGGGUCUUGUUCCUGGGUCCAAGGGAAGUUGAUUAAGGGUAGUUUUAGGUGAUGGAACUCACCGGAUUGGAGGAAUCACCGUCGGGCACCUUCGGUGCUCCGGUGGAGUUCCUCACGGUUUAGGCCUUAAAAACCCUUAAUCUUUGGUGGAGAUGGAAGAAGAGAGGUUGAGGAAGAAGUUACAAGUGGAGAAUGGAUGCAAAUCGCCUGAAAAAUGGUGGAAUUUGGCCGGAACAACUCGGAUCCUUGUCGGGUUUGGUGUGCACGUUCACAGGAAGGAAGAGCUGAGGCUUCUCUCCCCUCUCCUAAUUGGUUGACUUCUUUUCUAAAUUUUCUGAUUAGUCACUCAUUUCUUCCCUUAAAACUGAUCGGUUACCACUCCCACAUGGUGGGAGUUUGAAUUAAUUUAUAACUAAACUUUAAAUAACCAAUUUCAAACGUCUGUAAAUAUACUGUUAUAAUCUGGACUCACAAACGGUUUUCGCCUAUACGUUCGUAGUGACGAGUACUACAAGGAUAUGCUAAAAAAAAUAAGUUCCAUGUCUUUCUAACCGAUGGUCAACAAAGGUCAAAAUCUUUGCCUCAAGGGGGCAUUUUCAUAAAAUCACUAAUUUAAAUUUUAUAAAACUUAAAAUUAGAGACGGCUUGCAACAAAAUUAGUCAUCAAAUGAUUGUUUUUCUUUUAACAAACAAUAUUAUCUACACUAAGGAGGAGAUGGUGGGCUUAGCCUCACAAUGGGCUAUUAAUAAUGUGAUUCAAUCAGUUGUUUAUUAAAUAUUAUUUUCUUUAUUUUUAAACAAGUUCAAAACAUCUUAAGAGAUGUGUAAUACCGGUUAUAAAAAAAAGUUUUUCGUACGCGGAUAAUAAUGUGAUUAAAUUAGUUGUCAAAUAAUUGUUUUUUUUUUUUAAUAAACGAUAUUAUCUACACUAAGAGGGAGGGGGUGGGCUUAGCCUCACAAUGGGUUAGCAAUAAUGUAAUUCAAUCAAUUGUUUAUUAAAUAUUAUUUUUUCUAUUCUUAAUGUAAAUUCUAUAGAGAUCGAUUUUAUUAUGUGAAGUCAAUUGCUUUAAUUGAUUUAUGAGGGGUUUCUUCCAGCAUGAUCUGAGAUUAUUCCUUUACUUCAAAUAUUUGACUUUCCUUUUAUCAAUAUACGUAUAUAAAUACAUUUAAAACAUGUAAGUCGCUCGUAGCACGUCAUAAUUCA
rnacentral:lncRNA from 1 species